rnacentral:rRNA from 1 species
CAGCAGCCGCGGUAAUACGUAGGGGGCAAGCGUUAUCCGGAUUUACUGGGUGUAAAGGGAGCGCAGACGGCGCAGCAAGUCUGAAGUGAAAGCCCGGGGCUUAACUCCGGGACUGCUUUGGAAACUGCUGUGCUUGAGUAUCGGAGGGGCAGGCGGAAUUCCCAGUGUAGCGGUGAAAUGCGUAGAUAUUGGGAAGAACACCGGUGGCGAAGGCGGCCUGCUGGACGAUAACUGACGUUGAGGCUCGAAGGCGUGGGGAGCAAACAGGAUUAGAUACCCUGGUAGUCCACGCGGUAAACGAUGAAUACUAGGUGUUGGCAUCCAAAGGAUGUCGGUGCCGGCGCAAACGCAUUAAGUAUUCCACCUGGGGAGUACGUUCGCAAGAAUGAAACUCAAAUAAAUUGACGG